GUAGGGAAUCUUGCGCAAUGGGCGAAAGCCUGACGCAGCCAUGCCGCGUGAAUGAUGAAGGUCUUAGGAUUGUAAAAUUCUUUCACCGGGGACGAUAAUGACGGUACCCGGAGAAGAAGCCCCGGCUAACUUCGUGCCAGCAGCCGCGGUAAUACGAAGGGGGCUAGCGUUGCUCGGAAUUACUGGGCGUAAAGGGCGCGUAGGCGGACAGUUUAGUCAGAGGUGAAAGCCCAGGGCUCAACCUUGGAAUUGCCUUUGAUACUGGCUGUCUUGAGUACGGGAGAGGUGAGUGGAACUCCGAGUGUAGAGGUGAAAUUCGUAGAUAUUCGGAAGAACACCAGUGGCGAAGGCGACUCACUGGCCCGUUACUGACGCUGAGGCGCGAAAGCGUGGGGAGCAAACAGGAUUAGAAACCCGGGUAGUCC
rnacentral:rRNA from 1 species